GCCAGGUGUGGUGUCGCAUGUUCGUAAUCCAAGUGACUUGGGAGGCUGAGGCAGGAGGAUCACGAGUUCAAAGCCAGCCUCAGCAAUUUAGUGAGGCACUUAGCAACUCAGUGACACCCUGUCUUUA
rnacentral:sRNA from 1 species